rnacentral:lncRNA from 1 species
UCUCACUCAAAGCUGAUGAGCUCAAUACUGUUGAUGAUACAGGUCACUGUUAAACACUGUUGGCUGGUGACCUGUGACCCCUCAUUCACUUGUAUCCUUUGGGAAGGAACAGGGUGCUCUCUCCUUACUUGAGGCUUUACUCUGCUCAGCUGCAUCAUCCUCUGAAGCACAUGCUCUGCAUCCCAAAUGUGUCACCAAACAGAUUCCCUAUUAUACAGGGCAGGUAGGUCAGAGUCAUUGGCAUCUAUGUGAAUGACGAGUUCUGUUUCAUCAUAAAUAACCUGAAUAUUUAUGACCUAUCUGAGAUUCUAGAACCUUCCUUUUCAUGGAUGCAAUCGGAACAACACAAAUAACCUAUUUUGUCAUGGCGGAAAAUAACCUCAAAUCUCACUCUCGAUAUUCUGUUGCUGCAAGAUGAUUUCCAAUGUCAGAUCACUGCAGAGAAGAUGGAUUCUUCACCCACUGAGCCAUGAAGGAAGCUGAUUAUGAAGGCAAUGCCAUGCAAAUGAGCUGCUCUAUUCCACAGGCACGACUCAAGCACCCUGAUUGGGACUCCAAGCUUUGUGAGAGGAUUGAAAACGGAAGGCACUUCUGCCAAAAAAGAGGGGUGUGGAGCCAGAUAACUGUGAUCUGGGGAAACAUGCCAUGAAGUCUCGAGGACUUUAGUCCCUGAGGACUAAAUCCUGCAAAAAAUAGAGAAGCAAAAUUUCUUUCUGUGAAUUUGUAAAGAAGAACAUUCAAUUAUUUAAAAAUAUAUUGAUCUGGAAAUCAUCAGAGAAAUAGCGUUUAUAUUGUAUUUUGAGAAUAAAAGAG